CAGUCGCCGCGGUAAUACGAAGGGGGCUAGCGUUGCUCGGAAUUACUGGGCGUAAAGGGAGCGUAGGCGGAUCGUUAAGUUGGGGGUGAAAGCCCGGGGCUCAACCUCGGAAUUGCCUUCAAUACUGGCGAGCUUGAGUAUGGAAGAGGUAUGUAGAACUCCGAGUGUAGAGGUGAAAUUCGUAGAUAUUCGGAAGAACACCAGUGGCGAAGGCGACAUACUGGUCCAUUACUGACGCUGAGGCGCGAAAGCGUGGGGAGCAAACAGGAUUAGAUACCCCAGUAGUCCCUGUCUCUUAUAC
rnacentral:rRNA from 1 species